rnacentral:rRNA from 3 species
CGUUAACACAGGUGCUGCAUGGCUGUCGUCAGGCGUGUCGUGAGAUGUUGGGUUAAGUCCCGCAACGAGCGCAACCCUUGCCAUUAGUUGCCAUCAUUAAGUUGGGCACUCUAAUGGGACUGCCGGUGACAAACCGGAGGAAGGUGGGGAUGACGUCAAGUCCUCAUGGCCCUUAUGACCAGGGCUUCACACGUCAUACAAUGGUCGGUACAGAGGGUCGCGAAGCCGCGAGGUGGAGCCAAUCUCAUAAAACCGAUCGUAGUCCGGAUCGCACUCUGCAACUCGAGUGCGUGAAGUCGGAAUCGCUAGUAAUCGCAGAUCAGCAUGCUGCGGUGAAUACGUUCCCGGGUCUUGUACACAC